rnacentral:rRNA from 1 species
GAUGAACGCUGGCGGCGUGCCUAAUACAUGCAAGUCGAGCGAAUGGAUUAAGAGCUUGCUCUUAUGAAGUUAGCGGCGGACGGGUGAGUAACACGUGGGUAACCUGCCCAUAAGACUGGGAUAACUCCGGGAAACCGGGGCUAAUACCGGAUAAUAUUUUGAACUGCAUGGUUCAAAAUUGAAAGGCGGCUUCGGCUGUCCCUUAUGGAUGGACCCGCGUCGCAUUAGCUAGUUGGUGAGGUAACGGCGCACCAAGGCAACGAUGCGUAGCCGACCUGAGAGGGGGAUCGGCCACCCUGGGACUGAGACACGGGCCAGCCUCCUACGGGAGGCAGCAGUAGGGAAUCUUCCGCAAUGGACGAAAGUCUGACGGAGCAACGCCGCGUGAGUGAUGAAGGCUUUCGGGUCGUAAAACUCUGUUGUUAGGGAAGAACAAGUGCUAGUUGAAUAAGCUGGCACCUUGACGGUACCUAACCAGAAAGCCACGGCUAACUACGUGCCAGCCGCCGCCGUAACAC